rnacentral:rRNA from 1 species
GACGAACGCUGGCGGCGUGCUUAACACAUGCAAGUCGAACGGAAAGGCCCUGCUUUUGUUGGGUGCUCGAGUGGCGAACGGGUGAGUAACACGUGAGUAACCUGCCCUUGACUUUGGGAUAACUUCAGGAAACUGGGGCUAAUACCGGAUAGGAGCUCCUGCUGCAUGGUGUGGGUUGGAAAGUUUCGGCGGUUGGGGAUGGACUCGCGGCUAGUUAGCCUGUUGGUGGGGUAGCGGCUUACCAAGGUUUCGACGGGUAGCGGGCCUGAGAGGGAGACAGGCCACAUUGGGCCUGAGAUAGGGCCCAGAGUCCUACGGGGGGCAGCGGUGGGGAAUAUUGCACAAUGGGCGGAGGCCUGAUGCAGCAACGCCGGGUGGGGAAUGACGGCCUUCGGGUUGUAAACCGCUUGCGCCUGGGACGAAGCGUGAGUGACGGUAAUGGAUAAAGAAGCACCGGCUAACUACGUG